UACGUAGGGGGCUAGCGUUGUCCGGAAUCAUUGGGCGUAAAGCGCGUGUAGGCGGUCCGGUAAGUCCGCUGUGAAAGUCGGGGGCUCAACCCUCGGAUGCCGGUGGAGUACUGUCGGGCUUGAGUACGGAAGAGGCGAGUGGAAUUCCUGGUGUAGCGGUGAAAUGCGCAGAGUAUCAGGAGGAACACCAAUUGCGAAGGCAGCUCGCUGGGACGUUAACUGACGCUGAGACGCGAAAGCGUGGGGAGCAAACAGG
rnacentral:rRNA from 1 species